rnacentral:rRNA from 1 species
GACGAACCGUGCGAACGUUGUUCGGAAUCACUGGGCUUAAAGGGCGCGUAGGCGGGUCGCCAAGUUUGGGGUGAAAUCCUCCGGCUCAACCGGAGAACUGCCUCAAAUACUGGCGAUCUCGAGGGGGAUAGGGGCAUGCGGAACUACGGGUGGAGCGGUGAAAUGCGUUGAUAUCCGUAGGAACUCCGGUGGCGAAGGCGGCGUGCUGGAUCCCUUCUGACGCGGAGGAGCGAAAGCCAGGGGAGCAAACGGG